CCAACCCUAAUUGAAGAAAUAACGCGCUGCCGCAUACACUGUUUCUGUAAGGAUCUACUCCGGCGCGAUCUGUUCCAGCGACAACUCUCUCCACCAAGGAUCUCCUCAGCCGCGUUCUCCUCCGACUAGAAUCUCCUCACCGUUCACCGCCAUCGUUCAUCUCCUCGCCGCUGCCUUCAAUGAGCUUCUACGAUCUUGUUCUGGCUUCGAUCUAAAGGUUAGCCAUCGCCACUCAUCUCCUUUGCUGCUUCGUUUAUCACCUCGCCGCUGCAAGCAACAUUGUUGCUGCUUUAGCGAACUUCGACAAAUCUCUUCACUUUUGUAAUUACGUCCUUGUUCUCACCGUCGAGAACUUCCUCGAGCGCCACCUCCAGACUCUCGUCUUCAAUCCCAGCAUGGCCAAGUCAAUCCACCACGCCAGGUUCUGAUCCGCCAGCGCCACAUUAGAACUUGCUAAAAAAGUUCCACAAGGGUCAUCCAAAAGUCAGAACUCAGAUUAGCAUUGCUGUGGCUGCAUUGGCUGUGCAUGUGCCUGCUGAAGAUUGGGGAGAUGGUGGUAUAGUGAAAUGGCUUAGGGACGAGAUGGAUUCUCAUCCGGAAUAUAUACCAGGAUUCUUGGAGUUACUAACAGUUUUGCCAGAGGAAGUAUUAAACUAUAAGAUAGCAGCUCGACCUGAAAGGCGUCGUCAAUUUGAAAAAGAGCUUACUUCUCAAAUGGAGAUUGCUCUAAAUAUUUUGACAGCUUGUUUGGCUAUUUCUGAGCUUAAAGAGCAGGUUCUUGAAGCGUUUGCUUCGUGGCUUCGCCUAAAGCAUGGGUACUAAUUUUUUUCUACCUCUUUGCAUAUUGGAGUGUUCGGCUAAGUUGUUUUUAUUGAAUUUAUUAAUAUAUUAUUCUGAUCAAGAUUAAUUAUUCAAGAACUGUUUUGUAUAAAUGAAUCAUCUGAAUUGUGUAGCAUAUUGGAGGAAGCUUGUCAGAUGAGUGUGCUUUACUGUCAAGCAUUUAGUUAAUUUUUUUUGGGCGAUCUAUAG